CAAUAGCGUAUAUUAAAGUUGUUGCGGUUAAAAGCUCGUAGUUGGAUUUCUGUCGGUGAGUUACAGUCCGCCCGCAGCGGUGUGUACUUGUGACGCCACCGGCAUCUUCCUGGGGACUGUGUCUGCUCUUUGUUGAGUGGCGCAUAAUCCAGGACUUUUACUUUGAAGAAAUGAGAGUGUUUCAAGCAGGCAUGCGCCAUGAAUACGUUAGCAUGGAAUAAUAGCAUCGGACCUCGUUCCAAAGCUGUUGGUUUCUUGGACCGAGGUAAAGGUGAAUAGGGAUUGUUGGGGGCAUUCGUAUUACAAUGUCAGAGGUGAAAUUCUUGGAUUAUUGUACGACGAACUACUGCGAAAGCAUUUGCCAAGGAUGUUUUUUUAAAUCAAGAACGAAAGUUAGGGGAUCGAAGACGAUCAGAUACCGU
rnacentral:rRNA from 1 species